CUGGGACUCAUCUUGUAAAACUUUGUCACUUUUACCACCAACCAAAGAAAAACCUACUGAAUGCAAUAAAGGCAAACACAAGGCAGUUUGUAAGAUACUGCUAAAACUGUAAGUCACCAUUUAGUUUCUCUGCAAAAAAAAACAAUGAAAAACCUGUAUAGCUUUCAAAAGGACAGGAGACAUGCAUUGACUGAGUAUUUAUAGCUGCAGCAUUCAGGAAUGCAAAUUGAAAUGAAUCAAUGCCAGCAGGGAUGCCUAAAAGACAUAAGUGAGAAUUACAGCAAUUAAGAAUGUUGUCUCAAAGGAAAUUAGAACAGUCCAUUAAUUAUAAUGCCUUAAAGGAAAAUGAACCAAAAUGAGAAGGAAAGAAAGAAAUUAAAAUAUCAGGAAAUUAGAUGAAAAACAGGGGAAUAAAGAAGAUAACGAGCACAGUAGGUAUUUCCCACCCUCCUUUUACAAAGAACAAAAAAAAUGAAAAAUAACAGUGAUAGGAACCGAACCCCCAUAAAUAUCAGAGCCAAUCUGCUCUGCCAUGAGAUCAAUGGCCGCACGCUCAGGGCUUUGCUGAUGUAAGGCCAAUUUGUCAUUAAAUUCUGCAGAAGCUGGUUACACAGAGGAGAGCGCAGCAAACAAAGUGCCAAGGUAACAGUGCAGCAGAAGUCGUAUUUAUGAUGCAAGGCAGCUGGAAUCCCUAACGGACGGGAGGAGGAAGAAUAUUUAUUACACCACACUGAUAAGCACGGGAUGUGGUGCCAGGACCACCCGUAGGCUGGGAGACGGGCAGUUCUCUUGCUUAGCCCUGCUGCUGAUGGAAACGUGAAUGAUUUAGUCCAAGGCCAGGCGUGCUCUGCCUGCCCCCAGUGCGACUUGUUGCGGAUCCUGCUGAGCCCCAGGAACCCCAAACCACCCAGAAGCUGUCUUUGGAGGCGGCCCUACACAACCCUUACACUCUCAGCUUACUUUUGAUAUACCAUGGAACACAUGCAUUAAAAAUUCUUCAUGGGUGGCUUGAAUGUGCAGCGGAUGAAUCGUGAUGAUGUGGCUGGAGGCAGCUGCUGCUACCUGACCAGGCUGUAGCAGGAGGAGGCUGGGCUGUGAACCUGCAGAAACUCCUGGGAAGUGAAGGAACCACCUCCACGCUGGGCUCCCA
rnacentral:lncRNA from 1 species